CACCAGGUGUCAGGGCCGAGCCUGAGAGCCGUUGGCCGAGUAGAGGAGUGCUGUCGGUUUAAUACAUUGCUACGUAGCCAGCAGCGAGCCGCCCGUUGUCUGCUGUCCGUGUUGUUCACCGGGUGGAGUUUGGCUACAGUCCGCAAGACAAAGACAACUGACUGACCAGUCCAAGCCUACUGUACCGGACGUAACGUGACUGGAGGACCUCAUUGACACUGAUCUGCUGGAUCUUCACCAGAGAAAAGAACCACCUGCUGUGCCUGCCUGUUUCAUUGUUUACAUCUCUGUCACCAGCGGGAGGCUUUCGCUCAAAUAAGCAAAGGACAACUGCAGCCGAGGUCUUUAUGUCACCCCAACCACUUUAAAAGACUUUACAAAAACCUGGAGUUAAUUGUUUUUCAUCUGAUUUUCUGAAACCAAUUGAGGGUAAACAUGCAAUUCAUUGAUGUUGCCCGAGAGGACCUGGCCAAUAAAACCACUUGUACUUUAUCUAUGGGUUCUCUGCUCGGUGUGAGGAGGAGUGCCGUCCCCUAAGUUUUCUUGAUGAAGGCCUUUUUCUGACAGAAGAUCAGGGCCACUUGAGGCCAGGAGGCGGACUGCUGUGCCCCUCUGCUCUGCCCUCUUAAAUUCAACCCUUUUUGACAGAUUUCCUCGCCCUCCUGACUUCCACGAUGGAGCUCUUCUUCAACCCUUUUGACAACUUAGUGUGCAUCCUGCUCGGCAUCUCCGUCACCGUGUGGUUCACGCUGCUGCUGGUCUUCAUCAUCGUGCCUGCCAUCUUUGGUGUGUCCUUUGGCAUCCGGCGUCUUUACAUGAAAACCUUACUGAAGCUCUUUGAGUGGGCCACACUCAGGAUAGAGAGGGGAGCGAAAGAAAAUAAUCACCACCUGUACAAACCCUACUCAAAUGCGAUCAUCGCCAGGGAGCCCACCUCGUUGGAGGAGGAGAUCAAGGAGAUCAGGCGCAGCGGCAGCAACAGAGACCUGGACUCGGCCCCCGAGUUUGAGAUGUCCGACAUCUUCUACUUUGCCCGGCGAGGAGUGGAGAGCAUCAUGGACGACGAGGUGACCAAGCGGUUCUCUCCUGAGGAGUUGGAGUCCUGGAAUCUGCUGACUCGCAGCAACACCAACUUCCACUACAUCAGCCUGAGGUUGACCGUCCUCUGGGGGCUCGGCCUGCUGAUCCGCUACGGCUUCCUGCUGCCUCUCAGGGUAACCCUCGCCUUCACUGGUGUUGGCCUCCUCGUCUUCCUCACCUGUGUCAUCGGGCUGCUGCCAAGCGGAAGGUUAAAAAACUUUCUGAGUGAAAAAGUCCAUCUGAUGUGCUACAGAAUAUGUGUCCGAGCUCUGACGGCCAUUAUAACCUACCAUAACAGUGAAAAUAAACCCAAGAACGGGGGCAUCUGCGUCGCCAACCACACCUCACCCAUCGAUGUUAUCAUCCUGGCCAGCGAUGGCUGCUACGCUAUGGUCGGCCAAAUUCACGGUGGCUUGAUGGGGGUCAUUCAGAGAUCCAUGGUCAAGGCCUGCCCGCACAUUUGGUUUGAACGCUCAGAAGUCAAAGACAGACAUCUAGUGGCCAAAAGAUUGAGUGACCACGUAGAAGAUAAAACUAAACUGCCCAUUCUCAUUUUCCCAGAAGGUACCUGCAUUAACAACACGUCAGUCAUGAUGUUUAAGAAAGGCAGUUUCGACAUUGGUGCCACAGUCUACCCUGUGGCCAUAAAGUAUGACCCACGAUUUGGAGACGCCUUCUGGAACAGCAGCAAGUUUGGGAUGGUCAACUACCUGUUACGCAUGAUGAGCAGCUGGGCCAUCGUCUGCAGCGUGUGGUACCUUCCCCCCAUGUCCAGAGAGGCGGAUGAAGACGCCGUACAGUUUGCCAAUCGUGUGAAGGCUGCAAUAGCCAGGCAAGGCGGACUGGUCGACCUCCUGUGGGACGGAGGAUUGAAGCGAGGAAAAGUAAAAGAUACCUUUAAAGAAGAGCAACAGAAGCUGUACAGUAAAAUGCUGGUGGGCACCCCAGAGGACCGCAGUCGCUCCUGAAGGUCCCCGUGUGGGGGCGGACCGGCUCAGUGACCCACCUGGGCACCUGGGACUCUAACAGACAGUCGGCCUCUCUCUCUACUGGAGCUCCUUGACUGGACUCCUUUCUGAUGUCAACAGUCCUCCAUCUGGCUCCCCCGGUCACUGCCUUAGCCAGGCACGAUCAGUUUGCGUCGCUGUUACGGGUCGUUCGGAGUCCGCUGCCCUUUGUGGGACUAGCUCGACUGAAGCUCUGCUCGCAUUAGAACGAGAAGAAGGUGCACACAGAAAAGGAGCUUUGUCUUCUUUGUUGUCUUGUGAGGGGAAAACUUGUAUUGUUAUAUAUCAUCGAGUUACUGUGUUUGUUUGGUAGUUUCAACUUUUUCAUUGUCAUUUGACUGUCAUGUUUGUAUCACACUGUGGUAACGUUACAGAGCUGAUUAUACCUGGGAUAUAGAAGAGAGAUACUGUAGAGAAGAACUAGUUUGUUUUAAAGCUAAAACUUGUGACUGAGUUGGGGUUCUGCAUGACUGGCGUGUGUCCAUGAUUUAGGGCACAACGCCAGAUUUUGUUACAUUUGAGAUAUUUUUAUGGGCUUUUUCCAAGAGGAAAAAAAAAAAUGUUUUAACGUAUUUUCAACUUUGUGUUUUACAUUAAGACUUGUAUCGACACAUGUGGUCACUACAGGAGUCUCAGUGCAGAUGAGCUCUUGUUGUGUUGUCUGUUUUCUUCCGUUGAAUGUGUAAAUCCUCACAUUAUGAAAUUGAAAUUGAGCACCCACAGUUUCUCUGAUGGAGGUUUAUGGAGUGAUGUUCCAGCUAAUAAGGCAGCAGAACUGGAGUAAAAGGGUUUGUAGUCCAUUCAUUAGGAUUUUAUUUGGGAUGCUUUAAGCAUUGUACCUUUAAAGGCCCAUGGCACACAAGUAGUAACAUAAGACAGUCGCAAUUGGUCUCCUGAAGCCCUAUUCGCACGGGAGGGACCUCUAGUAAAUUGUAAUAAUUUGUGGAGGUUGUCUGUCAUAUUAAUCCCGUGUGACUCUGACAAUUCCACCGCAAAUAACCGAGUACAUUUCUCCAAACACCAAGGUGGUGUUGUGAUUUUAUUUAAUUUUUUUUUUCAGUCCCGUCUCUGUGAUCCAGAGUUGUAUUGGCUGCGUUGGCAAUUAUUAAUGAAAGUUUCGACAUUGUAUCUGAGGGAUAAUGUCAGUACAUUUGAGUAAAAUACAGACUUUGCGCAUCCCGUGUGAAAUAGGGCUUUUAACGUAGUUCUAAUGAGAAUUAGCUAAUACAUAUUCUUAUUAAUAUACUUCCUAACAGGCAUCAUGUUACAUUGGCUUCCUGCUAUUGCAGUGACUAUCUUGCCUAAUUUAUUUUAAUUUAACUAUGAAAGCUGUUGUCUUUAUUCCCCUCCCUAUCAUUGGUGAUCUUUCCUGUACUUGGCAGCCUCUUCAUGGAGAGGCAGUUGUAGUUUGCUGGAGAUGAGGAUCCCAGGGGACAGCCGUGGGACGUUUCUCCCUGAGGCCCUCAUCCCUCCAGUUUACCGUUUAUCAGGGACAUUCGUCAUUUAGAUUGUGUCCAAUCUGUUCAUCCAAAUUAAAUGUUCAAGAUGUGAC